rnacentral:rRNA from 1 species
GUCUAUGGCUGUUAUCACCCUGAAUGCACUGCAAUCUCAUCUGAUCCCUCAGGGGUUAAGCAGGUUCAGGCUAGGUCAGUACUUGGAUGGGAAACCACCUGGAAAUACCAGGUACUUACUGUAUACU